UGCAGAAUAAGGCUGAGGUUCUCAGAGAGGGCAGAUCUAAAGCAGCUUCUGGUUCACGCUUUCAUCAAGAGAUCUGAUGCUGAGGAGGUAGACUUCGCAGGUUGGCUCUGCUCCACCAUUGGGCUUAACCAGCCCAGCACACCAACCCAUGGCGCUGGCAUCUGAGCCUUUGGGAAGCAGCAAAGAGGAAAUCCUCUGCCCAGUGGCAUGCCAUGUUGCUUUCAGGCCUCUCCCAUGCUUGUCUCUGUUCAGACGUGCAUCUCAUCUGUGACAAAGGAUGAAGAACACAGCAUGUGCCAAAUUGUA